rnacentral:tmRNA from 1 species
GGGAGUGACCGGCUUCGAUGGGAUUUCUUUUAAAAUAUGCGCAAGUAGUGGAUGGACGGUUACCACUUUAAAUAUCCGCCCAAAAUCAUAAUUGCCAAUCAAAAUAGCAAUUACGCUUUAGCUUACGCUUAAGCGCGUUCUCUCGGUGAUUUCUGCUGGCCGAUGCAGGGCUAAAUCAAUUUUGUUUACAAAAUUGAUCGCCCGAACGUUUUGCUUUGCAAAAUGUUUUAGGACGUCAUUAGCAGGAUAAGGCCGUGGUGUUUUUUAAAUGUUUCGGCACCGCGGUUCGAAAAAUACAAAACAGGUUUUUGGUUAUUCCGUCGGGCUUUUAACCAAAAACUAAUUAGUCCGGCUAAACUUGUAGUGCAAUUUUAAAUCAUCUUCCAGACGGGGGUUCGAUACCCCCCACUUCCACAC